rnacentral:rRNA from 1 species
UACGAAGGGUGCAAGCGUUACUCGGAAUUACUGGGCGUAAAGCGCGCGUAGGCGGCUUUGUAAGUCAGAGGUGAAAGCCCGGAGCUCAACUUCGGAAUAGCCUUUGAGACUGCAUCGCUUGAAUCCAGGAGAGGUGAGUGGAAUUCCGAGUGUAGAGGUGAAAUUCGUAGAUAUUCGGAAGAACACCAGUGGCGAAGGCGGCUCACUGGACUGGUAUUGACGCUGAGGUGCGAAAGCGUGGGGAGCAAACAGG